rnacentral:ncRNA from 1 species
GAGUUUGUAGAAAGGAGAGAUGCUUGGCAUCUCCUCCUACAUGGACUUUAGCUAAAGUCAUAUUUGUUGAUUUGUUAAGUGCAUUGGUUGGUAAAGCUUAAGUUAUAACAUAAACUAGACAAAUAUGUUUUU